rnacentral:rRNA from 1 species
GCCUAACACAUGCAAGUCGAGCGGAAACGGCAGUAUUGAAGCUUCGGUGGAUUUACUGGACGUCGAGCGGCGGACGGGUGAGUAACGGCUGGGAACCUGCCCUGACGAGGGGGAUAACCGUUGGAAACGACGGCUAAUACCGCAUAAUGUCUACGGACCAAAGGUGGCCUCUACAUGUAAGCUAUCGCGUUGGGAUGGGCCCAGUUAGGAUUAGCUAGUUGGUAAGGUAACGGCUUACCAAGGCGACGAUCCUUAGCUGGUUUGAGAGGAUGAUCAGCCACACUGGGACUGAGACACGGCCCAGACUCCUACGGGAGGCAGCAGUGGGGAAUAUUGCACAAUGGGGGAGACCCUGAUGCAGCCAUGCCGCGUGUGUGAAGAAGGCCUUCGGGUUGUAAAGCACUUUCAGCAGUGAGGAAGGUAGUGUACUUAAUACGUGCAUUGCUUGACGUUAGCUGCAGAAGAAGCACCGGCUAACUCCGUGCCAGCAGCCGCGGUAAUACGGAGGGUGCGAGCGUUAAUCGGAAUUACUGGGCGUAAAGCGCAUGCAGGCGGUUUGUUAAGUCAGAUGUGAAAGCCCGGGGCUCAACCUCGGAACCGCAUUUGAAACUGGCAGGCUAGAGUCUUGUAGAGGGGGGUAGAAUUUCAGGUGUAGCGGUGAAAUGCGUAGAGAUCUGAAGGAAUACCAGUGGCGAAGGCGGCCCCCUGGACAAAGACUGACGCUCAGAUGCGAAAGCGUGGGUAGCAAACAGGAUUAGAUACCCUGGUAGUCCACGCCGUAAACGAUGUCUACUUGGAGGCUGAGGUUUAAGACUUUGGCUUUCGGAGCUAACGCAUUAAGUAGACCGCCUGGGGAGUACGGCCGCAAGGUUAAAACUCAAAUGAAUUGACGGGGGCCCGCACAAGCGGUGGAGCAUGUGGUUUAAUUCGAUGCAACGCGAAGAACCUUACCUACUCUUGACAUCCAGAGAACUUUCCAGAGAUGGAUUGGUGCCUUCGGGAGCUCUGAGACAGGUGCUGCAUGGCUGUCGUCAGCUCGUGUUGUGAAAUGUUGGGUUAAGUCCCGCAACGAGCGCAACCCUUAUCCUUGUUUGCCAGCACGUAAAGGUGGGAACUCCAGGGAGACUGCCGGUGAUAAACCGGAGGAAGGUGGGGACGACGUCAAGUCAUCAUGGCCCUUACGAGUAGGGCUACACACGUGCUACAAUGGCAGAUACAGAGGGCAGCGAGACAGCGAUGUUAAGCGAAUCCCUAAAGUUUGUCGUAGUCCCGGAUUGGAUUUCC